AAAUUUUUGUGAUCAAUGGUUUAACUUUUUUUUUUAAAUCAAGAUACAAAAGAUCAUAUAUUGUAGGAGUGAGCGUUCGGAUAACCGUUAGAGUUUGGUAUCGGGUAUUUAUAAUUUUUGGGUUUUUUAAUAUAAAGGUAUAGAACCCAUUCGGGCAUUUCUACCCUUUGGAUCGGGUUCAAAUAUUCUAUGUUCGGGUUUGGAUAUUUUGGGUCAGAUUCGAAUAUUUAAAUUUUGAAGAAUAAAUAAAGAAAUUAUUCAUUGUUUAAGUUUUUUUUGUAUUUAAAAUAUACUUUUAACUUAACUGUUUUUAUAAUUUUUAAAAGAUUAAACUAGUAAUAAGUCUGGAAAUAAAACUCAAAAAAUAGAAAGACAUUAAUUUAGUUGUUAUUUUGAAAUCUAAUUAUAUAAAAAGAUGUUGCCUCCCUCCUGUUGAGCGCGACACGUGUCCGAAGGGUAAAGCACUGCGUUUCAUUAAAGAACCGGGCUGCUGCGUACGUUUCUGAUACAUAUUACAGCCCAAUAAUGAUAGGCCCAUUUAGAAUCCAUGAGAUACAAGCCAAUGCUAGGAUUUCGGCUCUUCUUCCCUCAUCUACAUCAAAGAAGUUCUUCUGCGUUCUCAAACGAAAAUGAUGGGAGUUUCAAGGUAUCGAUUGAUUUGCUCACAUCAACAUGAUGUAUCUCUUUCUUGAUCUUUGUUCGCGUCGUUCGGGCUACUCUCUUAGAUUCUGAGAAUGUGGUCGCAAACAUCAAACUCCGACGAGCUAGGCACCAAACCAUCCGCUACAACACCACCGACGACGAUCCGCCGCUGACACACGUUGUUCCUCCAAUCUCCCAGCCCAAUAUUCGCUUCCGCAAUGUCAUCCUUCUCUCUCCUCCCCACUUCCUCCAACGAACCCACAAAGAAGAAACAGCUCGGCUUCCCUCGAGCUGCGUCCUUUCUAGGGAUGAACUGCACCGUCGCAGCAGAGACGAGGUUUCUGUUCCCUCCGUGAUUUGCUCCUCCGUAGAUUGGGACAACAAGAAGACGAAAAAGAAGAGAAAGGAAGCUACGAGGAGGGUUCGGUUAGGUUCUUGAGCGAGUCUAGACAGUGGUUCAAACGUCGUUCUAGCGACUUACUUUGCUAACGUAACGUGAUUCGUGUUUUUUCACUGGUUCUUACUUAUAUUACUCUAAACAGUGGUUUGAAUUGAUCGAUUCGGUGACGCUGAUUAUCACUAGGAGACAAGCUUCUUCUCAGAGUUAGGGGAGCUCCGCUUGCUCUGAUUCAUGUUUCCUCCUCUGAUCCUUUGCCUCACCUUAGUAUCAAAAAUACACCAAUCGAGACAUCAUCUGCGCAGUUUAUACGUCAACGGUACACUGCUGCUUCCAGUGGACAGAAGCUUCAAAACUCUAUAACAAACGCUUAUGGGGAAGCUCAAGAUGAUCACUUCUGAGCUUCAGACUGCGACUUCUUGUAGGGAACCGGACGAACCCGUCCAAGGCUGAGAGUGGAGGUUUCGUUCUCUGGCAGAUAAAUCUAUACAUAUAUAUUAACAGUUUUGUAAUGUUCUCAUCUUCUGUUUGGAUCAUUUGAUUUGAUGUUUCUGCUUAUGCGUGUUGAGAGUCCUUUUUGGUUUCUUUAGGUUAUGCUUGAUAUCGUGUUAUCUGAGUUUCAAGUUAUCAAUAAUUCUGAGAAAACUAUUACUCUUAAA